CACGUAGGGGGCGAGCGUUGUCCGGAUUUAUUGGGCGUAAAGAGCUCGUAGGCGGCUCAGUAAGUCAGGAUGUGAAAACUCCAGGCUCAACCUGGAGACGCCACCUGAUACUGCUGUGGCUAGAGUCCGGUAAGGGGAGCAUGGAAUUCCUGGUUGAUAGCGGUGAAAUGCGCAGAUAUCAGGAGGAACACCAGUGGCGAAGGCGGUGCUCGUGGGCCGGAAACUGACGCUGAGGAGCGAAAGCGUGGGGAGCAAACAGG
rnacentral:rRNA from 1 species